CAUGUACCUAUCAUGUAUGUUGCAGAGAAGAGUAGUUUGCUCUCUGGAGAGCAGUGAGGGCACUAUUUAUCUGUCGGAUGGAUCGUACUGUGCGAUCAAAAAUAUUGAGACUAUCAGCUGAAGGACACAUGAUGGUAUAGUGAGAAGAUUGGGAGAGGUUCGAUACAUACCCAAUUUUAGGCAAAAUCUUAUCUCACUGAGCAAACUGGAUUGG
rnacentral:lncRNA from 1 species